rnacentral:lncRNA from 1 species
CGAAGCUCUGAAUGUUGAAGGCUCCGAUGCGAAGCGCGGCGGUCCCGGCGGCUUCCAGCGCCCAGAGAGCGGCCAGCAGAGCCCGGGGCCCGCCCAUGGCGCGGAGCGAGAGGCUGGGAGGGACAGACGCUGCCGCUUACACAGACCCGCUGUCAGACCCACCGACCCACCCGUUUCCUCCGCGGCCGCCCCGUGACGGCUAGUGCGACGCGGAAUCCGCCCCUGCGUUCUGCAGGCUCCCAGGGCACUGCUGGGCUCUCGGGGACUGCUGCCUUCUCACUGCGCGGGAAGCUGCAGCCGGAAUAGAGGGUCCGGCCCAUCCAGCCCCAGCUCAGUGCAGCCGAGAGACUCACCUGGGAUGUGGGUGCGGAGGCCCGAGGCUCAGAGAUCCUAGGGGAAUGGGGAUCCCGGGUCCAGGCUGCGGGCGUGUCCGACACAGGACUGCCCUGACUCCCUCUGGCAGCAGCUCUGGCACCAGGGCAGGGGCCGGUAUUUGAGGUCCUGGUCCAGGGAGGGGCCGGGCUGCGCUGGGUCCCGCCCCCUCGACUGAGCUGGGUGCCUGAUGAACUCCUGGCUUUCAUUCCCAUGGAGACCCCCAGGAUAAGGGGUGGGAGACCUGCCUGAGCCGGUUCUGGUGCCCCAGACCUGUCCCAAAACCGUCCCAGAAGCCCCUGCCAGCCCCCUAGGAGGGAGGUAGACGGUCAGCCACAUCCCGGUGUGGCUGUGUUCUUGUCCUCGCCCCUAGAAAUUAGGUCGCCUAGACUCUGCCUCCCUGAGCAGAAUCCCUUCAGGGAAAGGAAGGCAGUGCAGGAAGGACCAGCCACACUCCCUGCCCAGCAUCUCCUGCUGCUGCUCCACCUGCUCACCCUGCGGUGGAGGCCGAGGCUCCCAGAUCUCCGUCCCCAUCCCUGGUCCUCCCACCCACCCACAGGCCUCAGGCAGCGCAGCUGGGGGCACAGCUCCAGCUGGGCAGGGCAGGAGUCUGUUGGUCAACAUGCCAAUGACACCCACGCGCCACCAAGGCGCCGCCAGGGCUGGCGGGAGCCCCUGGGCGGGGCGGCCAGGCACGUGAGUCUAGGAGUGGCCUGGGAGGCAGGUGCUGCUGCGGGGGCCUGGGCAAAGGCGGUGGCACCAGCCGCGGAGGCUGCCACUGCCGCAACAUCACAAGCUGCAGGUUCUCAUGUUUUAUUGUAAAGCAACAAGAAACUCUUAUGUACACUGUC